AGAAUCAACGCUGGCGGCGUGCCUAACACAUGCAAGUCGAACGAGAAAGUGGAGCAAUCCAUGAGUAAAGUGGCGAACGGGUGAGUAACACGUGACUAACCUACCCUUGAGUGGGGGAUAACCUAGGGAAACCUGGGCUAAUACCGCAUAAUAUCGAGAGAUCAAAGGAGCAAUUCGCUUAAGGAGGGGGUCGCGGCUGAUUAGCUAGUUGGUGAGGUAAUGGCUCACCAAGGCUAUGAUCAGUAUCCGGCCUGAGAGGGCGCACGGACACACUGGAACUGAAACACGGUCCAGACUCCUACGGGAGGCAGCAGUGGGGAAUUUUGCGCAAUGGGGGAAACCCUGACGCAGCAACGCCGCGUGGAGGAUGAAGUCCCUUGGACGUAAACUCCUUUCGAUCGGGACGAUAAUGACGGUACCGGAAGAAGAAGCCCGGCUAACUUCGCGCCAGCAGCCGC
rnacentral:rRNA from 1 species